rnacentral:pre_miRNA from 1 species
AAAGUACUCCCACCGUCCCAAAAUUCUUGUCUUAGAUUUGUCUAGAUAUGGAUGUAUCAAGUCACAUUUUAGUAUUAGAUACAUCCGUAUCUAGACAAAUCUAAGACAAGAAAUUUGGGACAGAGGGAGUAGUUG